rnacentral:sRNA from 1 species
UCCAAUAUGACUAACCAGAACACGAAUGAGUACCUGGAGAAGAUCAAACAGCGACUGUUUGAGAACCUUAGAAUGCUGCCGCACGCACCCGGGGUCCAAAUGCAGGCGAUUCCUGAGGACGCCAUCCCUGAGGAGAGUGGCGAUGAGGACGAAGAAGACCCUGACAAGCGCAUCUCGAGUGAGACCCAGACCUAGAGCCCUAUGCCUUCCAUUCAAUAGGCAGCUCCCACUUCCACCACCAUUCCUGGCUGCACACUCCCUCCAAGCUCCCCACCUGUAGAGAAAUCUGUUUUCGAGUUCCAGUGCCUGUAGGAACAGGUUAGGGAGCCCGAGUUCCUCCCUCUUCUGGUUCCCUUUCCCUUGGUGUCUCUUGGAGGACACGCAGGGAAGCACUGGGCAUAGAUGCUGAGCUAAAUCAGCACCCGCCUGCCCUCUCACCCAUGCUUCCCACUCCCUCCCAGUCUGCUCCUCUGACAAACGAAUUGCCUGUGAGGAAGAGUUCUCCGAUUCUGAAGAGGAGGGAGAGGGGGGCCGCAAGAACUCUUCCAACUUCAAAAAAGCCAAGAGAGUCAAAACAGAGGAUGAAAAAGAGAAAGACCCAGAGGAGAAGAAAGAAGUUACCGAAGAGGAGAAAACCAAGGAGGAGAAGCCAGAAGCCAAAGGGGUCAAGGAGGAGGUCAAGUUGGCCUGAACGGACCUCUCCAGCUCUGGCUUCCUGCUGAGUCC